rnacentral:rRNA from 1 species
CCUACGGGUGGCAGCAGUGGGGAAUCUUGCACAAUGGGCGCAAGUCUGACGCAGCGACGCCGCGUGCGGGAAGGAGGUCUUCGGGUCGUAAAACGCUUUUGUUAAAGGGCAAGGCAUGCUCUAUGGCCGUGUAGCGCGGUGUCUUUGACUAACCAGCGGCUAACUACGUGCAAGCAGCCGCGGUCAUACGUAGGGCGCAAGCGUUAUCCGGUUUUAUUGGGCGUUAGGGGCUCGUAGGCGGUUCGUCGCGUCCGAUGUGAAAGGCCACAACUUAACGGUGGACCGGGGCCGGGAACGGGGGGACUUGAGUGCAGAAGGGGAGACUGGAAUUCCCGGUGUAGCGGUGAAAUGUGUAGAUAUCGGGAGGAACACCAGUGGCGAAGGCGAGUCUCUGGGCCGUAACUGACGCUGAGGAGCGAAAGCGUGGGGAGCGAACAGGAUUAGAUACCCCAGUAGUC